AUCUCCAUCACCCCUCACCCCCUUUUUUUCAGUUCUGACACAGUAUUCACCAGCUCAGGCCAGUUCUUUUAUUGCCUUCACUUCCUUUCUCUUCACAUUUUCAUCUCUGCCCCAAAUUGUCACUAAUCUACAGAAGAGCACAGUCAGUCUUAAAAGUGCUGCAUGCCAAAGAAUUUAUGCCAAGAAUCAAGUCACUGCCAGCCAGAGAGAAAUACUAUCACACCUGCCACACAGUGGCUUGGAGGACUUCCUGUAUUUUUUACGAAACUCAGUUGCAAGAUGGUGCUACAUUGGAAAAUGGGACACCGAGAUCUAUUCCAGUAGAGCCUGCUCCACAGCUUCAUGUUGGCUUCUACAUAAGGCAGAUGCUUUCUUCAUCUCUCUUAACUGUGUGCAUAUAGUUAUGACUUCUAUGAUGGUAGAGGAAAAGUGGACAUUCUGAAUUUACCUGUAAGACAUAAUUGCAAUGGAAGACUGUGGAAAGAUAUGGUAAUGUUCAAAAGAAGACAAAAUCAACUCAUUUUAAUAUGUCAAGACAAAUCUUAAGUAAAUUUUUUUUUGUGAAAUUGGCAUUUAAAGAUUAUUUUUAUUCCACCUAUAAUCCAAUGUACCAAUAUCUCUAAAAUCCAGUGGGGCUUAUGGAUAUUUAAAGAGUACUAGUAAUUCUGGUGUGAUGGCUUGGUGAGGUUUUUUCAGAGUUGCACAUUAAUUUUGUGGUGUCCACCUCACACUCAACUCUCACCCAGGCCUCUAAUAAGUUGUAGUAUGAACUUUAAUCUUAUUCCAACAAACCAUCUUAUCAGAUGAUCUAAACCAAGUUGAGGGUAAUCAAUAAUCCACAAAUCCACUGGUGAGUUACAGGAGUAUCUACCUCAAAUAUGUGAAGAUUUCUCCCAGCAAAGCGAUCAGAUUAGAGCAAUUUUUUCCAAUGGCAUUGAAGAUGGUUGAAGCACUUAGAGCUUGGUCAGAUAUUAAAGAUGCCAACAUUAUCCAUUGUAUCAUGAGCCAUCAUCACUAGGUAUCCAGUCUUUUGCCUUAACAUUGGACUUCAAUGAUUCUGUAAGGGAAAGUAAGCUGAUAAUUUUGUACAGCUCUGCCUCACUUAAAUCCAAUUUAUAAUUAAGUCAAGACAUUGUCCUGUGAUAUAAUUAGUCUUCUUUGAAAAUAAUGAACAAAGUCCAAUAUGCAGAAAUAGUAUGGUAAUGUGGAAAGUGUUGGACUUGGAGUAAGGAAGACUUUGGUUAGAAUCGCACAUCAGAGAUUUAGGGAUUCCUGAUUCCUUAGAAAAAGGGCUCAGAAUGUAGCAAUUAAGGAGCCCAUUCCUAGUGAAAGAAAAAAAAUGGUGUAUCUUAAUGGCAAGGUUGGUCGGAGUGAAAUUCCUUUAUCUUAGCUUAGUGCAAGGA
rnacentral:lncRNA from 1 species